GGGCAGCUGGUGCUCUAGGCUGUACUCGAGGAACUCGAACAUCACACUCACGAUCGUGCACAUCCACCAGUCACGAAUCAUCAGGGUCUGCAGGCCGCAGCAGAGCACGCGUCUGAACUCCAGGCAC